UGAGUGGUGGCAUGUGCCACCACGCCCAGCUUUGCAAUUCUCAAGCACCACUUAAAUGCAGUGGAUUGUGUACUGAGAAUUGAACCCAAGGCCUCCUACGUGCUAUGCAAGGGCUCUACCACCGAGCCACAUCCCCAGCCCGCAGCUGUCUUCCUGAAACUGCAGUAUCUGACUGGAAUGAAAUGACAUCAAAAACACUGAAGAAAGUGACUCGAAGCUGUGUCCCACUCUGAGUGUAGAUAACCCCAGUGACAAGAAACAGGACCGCAGGGCACAGUCAUCUCCCGAAGUGGACCCAACCCAUGGGCCCCAGAAGAGGGUCACUGAGGUAAGAAAGACAUGCAGAAGAAAUUGAGCUUUACUAAUACUCAUAACCACAUUUAUAACAUUUAAUAGUCUGUCACACAGCUAAUGUCCCAUAUAAUAUGCAAAAUAGCCUAGGAAAGAGUGUGGAUUCCAAAACGUAAAGGGUUCCAUAUCAAUAUCCUUAUUUGUUUGUUUUUAAUGGAAGAAAAGAGUACAAUUUGCAUACAUUUGACAAGUGGAUACAUUAAUUGUAAACAGACAUGCAAAUUAUAUAGUUAUUUAUUAUUGUGCAUUUAUAUAGGACCUACUAGGUGCUACCAAUGUGAUAAUUUCUCCUCACCGGUGGCAACUGUAGCAUUAUCAAGUUCUAGGACAGCGACAUCCAGGACAUCCAGUGUCUCACUGGUGGCAGGGCAAGCUGCAACAUUUAGUGCUCAGUGGCAGAGGUGUGCUGGACUAGACCACAAGGGCACCAGUUUGGGUCACUGUGUCGGGCUGAGGAGCUUGGUUUGUCUCUCUAAACCUAGCAGCAAUUCUAUGAGCUACCCAGGAGCAUUUUAUUGGAAUCUUUUCCAUUAUUUGCUAGCAGAAAUUCUGAUUGACAUCUUUUUCAUUUUUGAAAACUGUGAUGAAAAGAACGUGUGGGGAGGAAACACAUGCAUGUAAGAAAAUGCUGCCCAAAAAACCAAACCUUGAGGUUCUCCCUCCUCAGUAUUCAGUGGACGGACGGACACAGGGUCUGAGAUUCUGCUUACGCUCAGCGGCAGUGCCGUGGCCGUUUCUAAUCAGGCAGGUGGAAUUUUAAUUGGUAGGAGAGCUACAUAGGCAGCUGGAGCAGAAUUUGAUUGCAAAUUUUUAUAUGAUUCCAAUCAUCAGGUAUUACUCAAGAAUGGGACAUUCUAUUAGCUAUUCAAUAACUGGAAAACAGUUUGUACAGAUAUAAUCACAUACACAUGAAAUCACAUAUAUUCUUCUCUGUGACCCCCACAAGAUGAGAUAGGAGAGAAAAACUGGACAUAGACAGGAAAAAGAAAACUAGAAAAAACAUGUGAAAAAGCGGAGGGAAAAAUAGACCCGAAAGUAACUACUUUAAUAUUAUUGUCCUAUUGGCAAAAAUGUGGAAAGAUACAUGCAUUGCAGGGUGAGCCAUCACAGCCAAGAUACUGGAGCAACCCUAAAGUCCAUCAGCAGGGAUUAUACGAAUAAAAUACUGUACAGGCCAGUACUGUGCAGCUAUUAAACAAGAACUGAGGCACGCUGGGGAUGCAGCUCAGCUAGGGUGCUGGGUUUGAUCCCUAGGUCCACAACAAUAAAUAAACACAUACAUUUUUUUUAGCUGA